rnacentral:rRNA from 1 species
CCUACGGGUGGCAGCAGUCGAGAAUUUUUCUCAAUGGGGGAAACCCUGAAGGAGCGACGCCGCGUGGAGGAUGAAGGUCUUCGGAUUGUAAACUCCUGUCAUUUGGGAACUAGUACCAGAAGAGGAAGAGACGGCUAACUCUGUGCCAGCAGCCGCGGUAAUACAGAGGUCUCAAGCGUUGUUCGGAUUCAUUGGGCGUAAAGGGUGCGUAGGUGGCGGGGUAAGUCAGGUGUGAAAUCUCGAGGCUCAACCUCGAAACUGCACUUGAUACUGCCUUGCUCGAGUACUGGAGAGGAGAUUGGAAUUUACGGUGUAGCAGUGAAAUGCGUAGAUAUCGUAAGGAAGACCAGUGGCGAAGGCGAAUCUCUGGACAGUACUGACACUGAGGCACGAAGGCCAGGGGAGCAAACAGGAUUAGAUACCCUUGUAGUC